rnacentral:rRNA from 1 species
AUUGAACGCUGGCGGAAUGCUUUACACAUGCAAGUCGAACGGCAGCACGGACUUCGGUCUGGUGGCGAGUGGCGAACGGGUGAGUAAUGUAUCGGAACGUGCCCAGUCGUGGGGGAUAACGUAGUGAAAAUUACGCUAAUACCGCAUACGAUCUAUGGAUGAAAGCGGGGGAUCGCAAGACCUCGCGCGAUUGGAGCGGCCGAUAUCAGAUUAGGUAGUUGGUGGGGUAAAGGCCCACCAAGCCAACGAUCUAUAGCUGGUCUGAGAGGACGACCAGCCACACUGGAACUGAGACACGGUCCAGACUCCUACGGGAGGCAGCAGUGGGGAAUUUUGGACAAUGGGCGAAAGCCUGAUCCAGCCAUUCCGCGUGCAGGAUGAAGGCCCUCGGGUUGUAAACUGCUUUUGUACAGAACGAAAAGGUUUCUACUAAUACUAGGAGCUCAUGACGGUACUGUAAGAAUAAGCACCGGCUAACUACGUGCCAGCAGCCGCGGAAA